AUGCAGCCAUGCCGCGUGUGUGAAGAAGGCUCUAGGGUUGUAAAGCACUUUCAGACGAGGAGGAAAGGGUGUAGGUUAAUACCCUGCAUCCGUGACGUUACUCGCAGAAGAAGCACCGGCUAACUCCGUGCCAGCAGCCGCGGUAAUACGGAGGGUGCGAGCGUUAAUCGGAAUUACUGGGCGUAAAGCGUGCGUAGGCGGCUUGUUAAGUUGGAUGUGAAAGCCCCGGGCUCAACCUGGGAACUGCACCCAAAACUGGCAAGCUAGAGUGCGGAAGAGGAGUGUGGAAUUUCCUGUGUAGCGGUGAAAUGCGUAGAUAUAGGAAGGAACACCAGUGGCGAAGGCGACACUCUGGUCUGACACUGACGCUGAGGUACGAAAGCGUGGGGAGCAAACCAGGAUUAGAUACCCUGGUAGUCCACGCCGUAAACGAUGUCUACUAGUCGUCGGGAAUCUUGCAUUCUUGGUGACGCAGCUAACGCGAUAAGUAGAC
rnacentral:rRNA from 1 species